UCCUACGGGAGGCAGCAGUGGGGAAUUUUCCGCAAUGGGCGAAAGCCUGACGGAGCAAUACCGCGUGAGGGAGGAAGGCUCUUGGGUUGUAAACCUCUUUUCUCAGGGAAGAACAAAAUGACGGUACCUGAGGAAUAAGCAUCGGCUAACUCCGUGCCAGCAGCCGCGGUAAUACGGAGGAUGCAAGCGUUAUCCGGAAUUAUUGGUGGUAAAGCGUCCGUAGGUGGCAGUUCAAGUCUGCUGUCAAAGGUCAGGGCCCAACCCUGAACAGGCAGUGGAAACUGAACAGCUAGAGUGCGGUAGGGGCAGAGGGAAUUCCCAGUGUAGCGGUGAAAUGCGUAGAGAUUGGGAAGAACACCGGUGGCGAAAGCGCUCUGCUAGGCCUGCACUGACACUCAGGGACGAAAGCUAGGGGAGCGAAUGGGAUUAGAUACCCCAGUAGUCCUAGCCGUAAACGAUGGAUACUAGGCGUAGCUUGUAUCGACCCAAGCUGUGCCGUAGCUAACGCGUUAAGUAUCCCGCCUGGGGAGUACGCGCGCAAGCGUGAAACUCAAAUGAAUUGACGG
rnacentral:rRNA from 1 species